GACGAACGCUGGCGGCGUGCUUAACACAUGCAAGUCGAACGGUGAAGCGCCUUCCUUUUUGGUGGGUGUGGAUGAGUGGCGAACGGGUGAGUAACACGUGAGUAACCUGCCCCCUUCUUCUGGAUAACCGCAUGAAAGUGUGGCUAAUACGGGAUAUUCUGGGUCUGUCGCAUGAUGGGUCUGGGAAAGAUAUUGUUUCGGUGGGGGAUGGGCUCGCGGCCUAUCAGCUUGUUGGUGGGGUGAUGGCCUACCAAGGCGGUGACGGGUAGCCGGCCUGAGAGGGUGGACGGUCACACUGGGACUGAGACACGGCCCAGACUCCUACGGGAGGCAGCAGUGGGGAAUAUUGCACAAUGGGCGCAAGCCUGAUGCAGCGACGCCGCGUGAGGGAUGGAGGCCUGCGGGUUGUGAACCUCCUUCGCCAGUGAAGCAGGCCUGCCUCGUUUGUGGGUGGGUUGACGGUAGCUGGAUAAGAAGCGCCGGCUAACUACGUG
rnacentral:rRNA from 1 species